AGGCAGAUGGGGAAUGGAUGGUGGGAACAGCGCUGGAAGGUUGUAGGUGAGGGUGGGAGUGACAAAAGGCUGAAGAUAAUGAAGGUGGAGCAUGAACUAAAGGGAGGGAGGUGCGGAGGGAAGAUGGGAGUAGUGGGGGACGGGAACCAGUGGGAGGAGAGUGUGAAUUCUAUCACGGACUGGUAUGGAAACACUUUGAACGGAAAAGCCUACACAAAGUCCUGAAUCCAGGCCAGUCCAUCACAGCUCUCCACACAAUUGAGCACAUCUACAAGGAGUUUGUUGCAGGAAGGCAACAUCCAUCAUUGAGCACAUCCACCAUCCAGGACAUGUUCGCUUCGCACUGUGGCCAUCAGGAAGAAGAUGUUCCCUGAGCUGCUCAGUGUUGGCAGUGCAGGAGGCACAAUAAUGUCAGCUGAGGAUUGCAGCUGAGGAUCUUUUACAUCCCGGGACCAGCAGGUGGUUCAUGUUUAUUACACAGAAUGAGACAAAAUGAAUCUAAACCAAAGGACAAAAGACACAGAGACAGCAAGACCCUCUCCUCGUUACACAGCAUUUGCCAUGUGUCAGAAACAGGCUCACUCUAAUGAUAAUUGACUGUAACUGAUUGAUUUAUUGAUUUUGCUAAGGGUAUGAGCAGUUCAAAUGUAUGUACACCUGCAUUUUAUGUUCGGGACACUCCUGCCGGCAACUGAAAGUGUGUUUGCUCAAACUGAGCACAGAAGUCCAGCCUGACGACUCUAGUUCAGGUGAUCAGAUAAUUGUGAAUUGGCAGCAAUAAAGUGGAAAAUAAGGAGAAAUUAAAAGAUGCCACAGACUGCUUUGUCAACAUUACAUCUGUGGGCAGAAUCCCAGUAUGACAUGCUGGAGCUGAUGUUUAUUGAAGAGAACGAAGGCUGCCUGGUGAAUCUAGUUUAGACUGAAGCAGCAACACAGACCACAGUCACUAUGAAUCACUGAGCUUGGGGUUAUCAUUGACCUGAAAACUCUCAGGCCCUGAAGAUCAAGUAUAACAAACUUGUGUAUUCAGAGAGAUUCAAUGAUCUGUAAUCCAAUUGUCAUUGCAAGGUUGUCAGCCGAUGAGGUCCACAAGUUCAGAUAUCUACUAAACCUUUCUUUCUGACAUCUGGACAGUAAAAUGUCUGGUUUUACUCCUGUAAGAGCCUUGGGCCAGUAGCUUGCUAUUUGAUUUUUGUGUUCACCUUGAAUAAAAUAAUAUCACCUGAACUGGAUUUGUCUCUUUAAACUAUGUAUCUGUUCUGGUGAGAACAAAUUAAUAGAUCUCACAAUACCUGAAAAUAACUGUCCCAGGGAAGGUACUGGGAUGGUGCUCCCUUAUCAUUUUGGAAAUUUUGCACUUUCAGGUGUUAGAUUGGACUAUACC